rnacentral:rRNA from 1 species
CGCUGGCGGCGUGCUUAACACAUGCAAGUCGAACGAAGAGCGAUGGAAGCUUGCUUCUAUCAAUCUUAGUGGCGAACGGGUGAGUAACGCGUAAUCAACCUGCCCUUCAGAGGGGGACAACAGUUGGAAACGACUGCUAAUACCGCAUACGAUCUAACCUUGGCAUCGAGGAUGGAUGAAAGGUGGCCUCUAUUUAUAAGCUAUCACUGAAGGAGGGGAUUGCGUCUGAUUAGCUAGUUGGAGGGGUAACGGCCCACCAAGGCGAUGAUCAGUAGCCGGUCUGAGAGGAUGAACGGCCACAUUGGGACUGAGACACGGCCCAGACUCCUACGGGAGGCAGCAGUGGGGAAUCUUCCGCAAUGGACGAAAGUCUGACGGAGCAACGCCGCGUGAGUGAUGACGGCCUUCGGGUUGUAAAGCUCUGUUAAUCGGGACGAAAGGCCUUCUUGCGAAUAGUUAGAAGGAUUGACGGUACCGGAAUAGAAAGCCACGGCUAACUACGUGCCAGCAGCCGCGGUAAUACGUAGGUGGCAAGCGUUGUCCGGAAUUAUUGGGCGUAAAGCGCGCGCAGGCGGAUCAGUCAGUCUGUCUUAAAAGUUCGGGGCUUAACCCCGUGAGGGGAUGGAAACUGCUGAUCUAGAGUAUCGGAGAGGAAAGUGGAAUUCCUAGUGUAGCGGUGAAAUGCGUAGAUAUUAGGAAGAACACCAGUGGCGAAGGCGACUUUCUGGACGAAAACUGACGCUGAGGCGCGAAAGCCAGGGGAGCGAACGGGAUUAGGAUACCCCGGUAGUCCUGGCCGUAAACGAUGGGUACUAGGUGUAGGAGGUAUCGACCCCUUCUGUGCCGGAGUUAACGCAAUAAGUACCCCGCCUGGGGAGUACGACCGCAAGGUUGAAACUCAAAGGAAUUGACGGGGGCCCGCACAAGCGGUGGAGUAUGUGGUUUAAUUCGACGCAACGCGAAGAACCUUACCAGGUCUUGACAUUGAUGGACAGAACCAGAGAUGGUUCCUCUUCUUCGGAAGCCAGAAAACAGGUGGUGCACGGUUGUCGUCAGCUCGUGUCGUGAGAUGUUGGGUUAAGUCCCGCAACGAGCGCAACCCCUAUCUUAUGUUGCCAGCACGUGAUGGUGGGAACUCAUGAGAGACUGCCGCAGACAAUGCGGAGGAAGGCGGGGAUGACGUCAAAUCAUCAUGCCCCUUAUGACCUGGGCUACACACGUACUACAAUGGGAGUUAAUGGACGGAAGCGAGAUCGCGAGAUGGAGCAAACCCGAGAAACACUCUCUCAGUUCGGAUCGUAGGCUGCAACUCGCCUACGUGAAGUCGGAAUCGCUAGUAAUCGCAGGUCAGCAUACUGCGGUGAAUACGUUCCCGGGCCUUGUACACACCGCCCGUCACACCACGAAAGUCGGAAGUGCCCAAAGCCGGUGGGGUAACCUUCGGGAGCCAGCCGUCUAAGGUAAAGUCGAUGAUUGGGGUGAAG